rnacentral:rRNA from 1 species
GAUGAACGCUGGCGGCGUGCCUAAUACAUGCAAGUCGAGCGAACGGACGAGAAGCUUGCUUCUCUGAUGUUAGCGGCGGACGGGUGAGUAACACGUGGAUAACCUACCUAUAAGACUGGGAUAACUUCGGGAAACCGGAGCUAAUACCGGAUAAUAUUUUGAACCGCAUGGUUCAAAAGUGAAAGACGGUCUUGCUGUCACUUAUAGAUGGAUCCGCGCUGCAUUAGCUAGUUGGUAAGGUAACGGCUUACCAAGGCAACGAUGCAUAGCCGACCUGAGAGGGUGAUCGGCCACACUGGAACUGAGACACGGUCCAGACUCCUACGGGAGGCAGCAGUAGGGAAUCUUCCGCAAUGGGCGAAAGCCUGACGGAGCAACGCCGCGUGAGUGAUGAAGGUCUUCGGAUCGUAAAACUCUGUUAUUAGGGAAGAACAUAUGUGUAAGUAACUGUGCACAUCUUGACGGUACCUAAUCAGAAAGCCACGGCUAACUACGUGCCAGCAGCCGCGGUAAUACGUAGGUGGCAAGCGUUAUCCGGAAUUAUUGGGCGUAAAGCGCGCGUAGGCGGUUUUUUAAGUCUGAUGUGAAAGCCCACGGCUCAACCGUGGAGGGUCAUUGGAAACUGGAAAACUUGAGUGCAGAAGAGGAAAGUGGAAUUCCAUGUGUAGCGGUGAAAUGCGCAGAGAUAUGGAGGAACACCAGUGGCGAAGGCGACUUUCUGGUCUGUAACUGACGCUGAUGUGCGAAAGCGUGGGGAUCAAACAGGAUUAGAUACCCUGGUAGUCCACGCCGUAAACGAUGAGUGCUAAGUGUUAGGGGGUUUCCGCCCCUUAGUGCUGCAGCUAACGCAUUAAGCACUCCGCCUGGGGAGUACGACCGCAAGGUUGAAACUCAAAGGAAUUGACGGGGACCCGCACAAGCGGUGGAGCAUGUGGUUUAAUUCGAAGCAACGCGAAGAACCUUACCAAAUCUUGACAUCCUUUGACAACUCUAGAGAUAGAGCCUUCCCCUUCGGGGGACAAAGUGACAGGUGGUGCAUGGUUGUCGUCAGCUCGUGUCGUGAGAUGUUGGGUUAAGUCCCGCAACGAGCGCAACCCUUAAGCUUAGUUGCCAUCAUUAAGUUGGGCACUCUAAGUUGACUGCCGGUGACAAACCGGAGGAAGGUGGGGAUGACGUCAAAUCAUCAUGCCCCUUAUGAUUUGGGCUACACACGUGCUACAAUGGACAAUACAAAGGGCAGCGAAACCGCGAGGUCAAGCAAAUCCCAUAAAGUUGUUCUCAGUUCGGAUUGUAGUCUGCUACUCGACUACAUGAAGCUGGAAUCGCUAGUAAUCGUAGAUCAGCAUGCUACGGUGAAUACGUUCCCGGGUCU